GUAGGGUGCAAGCGUUAAUCGGAAUUACUGGGCGUAAAGCGUGCGCAGGCGGCUUUGCAAGACAGAUGUGAAAUCCCCGGGCUUAACCUGGGAACUGCAUUUGUGACUGCAUGGCUGGAGUGCGGCAGAGGGGGAUGGAAUUCCGCGUGUAGCAGUGAAAUGCGUAGAUAUGCGGAGGAACACCGAUGGCGAAGGCAAUCCCCUGGGCCUGCACUGACGCUCAUGCACGAAAGCGUGGGGAGCAAACAGGAUUAGAUACCCUGGUAGUCCACGCCCUAAACGAUGUCAACUGGUUGUUGGACGGCUUGCUGUUCAGUAACGAAGCUAACGUGUGAAGUUGACCGCCUGGGGAGUACGGCCGCAAGGUUG
rnacentral:rRNA from 1 species